GCCCGCGCCUCCUGCGCGCGACACGGUUUCGUGGCCUCGGGGCCUGGGCUGUUUCUUCCCGGAAAGGACGGGGACUCCCCGCUAGCCACCUUAAGGCGGGACGUGUGGGAUCUCCAGCCUAGUCGCAGGAGCAGAUGGUGAGUGAUAACAGUUCUGUUUCUUGACUUGUGGAGAUAGAUGGUCACAUGUGAUAUCUACACAUGUGAUAAAAUUGCAUAGGACUAAACACACAUAAGUACAUGUGUGAAUGUAAAAAUGGUGAAAUCUGAAUAAGUUUCAGAGGCUGGAAAUCCAAAGUCCAGGGAAUGCAUCUGAUGAAGGCUUUGUUUGGUGUGACUUCAGUGACGACCGAGCAUCACAUUGAGAAAAUGGUGGACCACAGAGAGGCGAGAUUAACCUCAUUCACUGUCUUUCUAAAGCCCUCCAAACCACACCCAUGACCAACAUUUUUAAUCAAUUCACUACAGCAUGGUCCUACAGUCUAAUCACU